rnacentral:rRNA from 1 species
UACGUAGGGGGCAAGCGUUGUUCGGAAUUACUGGGCGUAAAGCGCGCGUAGGCGGUUUGGAAAGUCAGAUGUGAAAGCCCCGGGCUCAACUUGGGAACUGCAUUUGAUACUGCCAGACUAGAGUACAGAAGAGGUGACUGGAAUUCCCAGUGUAGCGGUGAAAUGCGUAGAUAUUGGGAGGAACACCAGAUGCGAAGGCGGGUCACUGGGCUGAUACUGACGCUGAGGCACGAAAGCGUGGGGAGCAAACAGG